UGCAGGCUUCAAACCUGUAGCUGCUUAGCGGCAGAGUGGUUCAAUUCCACCUUUCGGGCGUGAUUUCUGACCGCGAAAUUGUCUUGUCUUUGACCCCCCCCACUUUAUAAUAUUCAUCUCAGUUCGCUAAUAGAGAAUUCUACGCAACAACAAAAAUCCAUUCCUUGUAGAGCUCUUGAAAUUAAAUGGCUACAAUUGUUGAUACUUGUUGUUUCGUUGGAAGGUUUUAUUUCAACAUAGUCAUGCUUUCUAAUACAGUUUGGUAUUGAUGAAAGGUAGCCUAGCUGUCACAUUACAGCUUUCGGCCAGUUACUGAAAGGCCGUGGGUUCGAAUCCCCGACCCUUGAGCAAAGCACUUGAAUGCUUCUGCUAAAUGACUAAAAGGAGAUGAAAAGAUGCCCCGUCAAUCAAAAGUCAGGUGCUGCGCGCUCCGCGGCCCAUAUGGUUUGCAUCCUUCAACGAACCAGACCGGAUGUACAUAAUGACUGGCAAGCCCGAUAAACCAAUCACCACUUCAACGUAUUUUUUCUUAACCAAUCAAUGUUCUUGUUAGAGUGAGUGGGCGGAACCAUCUUUUUACGGAAAUGUGUGCAUGUCCUUGAUUAUGAAGUAACGUGGAGAGGAAUAAGCUUCAUCUGAUGGUGUAAUUUGUCACACCCCUUAGGUUCCAAAUCAUCAACCUUGUUACUUUAUUUGGCACCUAGUAAUGUUUUUAUAUUUAACCACUUGCGUGUUCCAGGCGGAGUUGUAAUCCUCAUUCACAAGAGCACAAAUAUACACUGAACAAAAAUAGGAAUGCAACAUGUAAAGUGUUGGUCCCAUGUUUCAUGAGCUGAAAUAAAAGAUCCCUGAAAUUUUC